GACGAACGCUGGCGACGUGCUUAACACAUGCAAGUCGAACGGUGAAGCGCCUUCCUUUUUGGUGGGUGUGGAUGAGUGGCGCACGGGCGAGUAACACGUGAGUAACCUGCCCCCUUCUUCUGGAUAACCGCAUGAAAGUGUGGCUAAUACGGGAUAUUCUGGGUCUGUCGCAUGAUGGGUCUGGGAAAGAUAUUGUUUCGGUGGGGGAUGGGCUCGCGGCCUAUCAGCUUGUUGGUGGGGUGAUGGCCUACCAAGGCGGUGACGGGUAGCCGGCCUGAGAGGGUGGACGGUCACACUGGGACUGAGACACGGCCCAGACUCCUACGGGAGGCAGCAGUGGGGAAUAUUGCACAAUGGGCGCAAGCCUGAUGCAGCGACGCCGCGUGAGGGAUGGAGGCCUUCGGGUUGUGAACCUCUUUCGCCAGUGAAGCAGGCCUGCCUCGUUUGUGGGUGGGUUGACGGUAGCUGGAUAAGAAGCGCCGGCUAACUACGUG
rnacentral:rRNA from 1 species